GUUCUUAUGUGAGUGCUCUGAAUACAUCCAUAGUAGUGCGUCAUCUGAUCGGCCUAUCUGAUCGGCUUUUAUGGAGACCACCGAUCAAACUAUUUAAAGCCUUUAUCGGCCGAUAACGAUCGGUUCCCGAUCAAUCGGAGCACCCUUACUUAAAAUGCGAACAAAGCACUGCAGAACAACAGGCCUGGUGUAAACAUACAUAUAUUAAACAUAAUUAUGA